rnacentral:rRNA from 1 species
UACGUAGGGGGCGAGCGUUGUCCGGAUUUAUUGAGCGUAAAGAGCGUGUAGGCGGCCAGGUAGGUCCGUUGUGAAAACUCGAGGCUCAACCUCGAGACGUCGGCGGAAACCCUCUGGCUAGAGUCCGGAAGAGGAGAGUGGAAUUCCUGGUGUAGCGGUGAAAUGCGCAGAUAUCAGGAAGAACACCCGUGGCGAAGGCGGCUCUCUGGGACGGUACUGACGCUGAGACGCGAAAGCGUGGGGAGCAAACAGG